GAUGAACGCUGGCGGCGUGCCUAAUACAUGCAAGUAGAGCGAACGGACGAGAAGCUUGCUUCUCUGAUGUUAGCGGCGAACGGGUGAGUAACACGUGGAUAACCUACCUAUAAGACUGGGAUAACUUCGGGAAACCGUAGCUAAUACCGGAUAAUAUUUUGAACCGCAUGGUACUAAAGUGAAAGACGGUCUUGCUGUCACUUAUAGAUGGAUCCGCGCUGCAUUAGCUAGUUGGUAAGGUAACGGCUUACCAAGACAACGAUGCAUAGCCGACCUGAGAGGGUGAUGGGCCACACGGGAACUGAGACACGGUCCGGACUCCUACGGGAGGCAGCAGUAGGGAAUCUUCCGAAAUGGGCGAAAGCCUGACGGAGCAACGCCGCGUGAGUGAUGAGGGUCUUCGGAUCGUAAAACUUUGUUAUUAGGGAAGAACAGAGUUGUAAGUAACUGUGCACAUCUUGACGGUACCUAAUCAGAAAGCCACGGCUAACUACGUG
rnacentral:rRNA from 1 species